AGUGAACGCUGGCGGUAGGCCUAACACAUGCAAGUCGAACGGCAGCACAGUAAGAGCUUGCUCUUACGGGUGGCGAGUGGCGGACGGGUGAGGAAUACAUCGGAAUCUACUUUUUCGUGGGGGAUAACGUAGAGAAACUUACGCUAAUACCGCAUACGACCUACGGGUGAAAGCAGGGGAUCUUCGGACCUUGCGCGAUUGAAUGAGCCGAUGUCGGAUUAGCUGGUUGGCGGGGUAAAGGCCCACCAAGGCGACGAUCCGUAGCUGGUCUGAGAGGAUGAUCAGCCACACUGGAACUGAGACACGGUCCAGACUCCUACGGGAGGCAGCAGUGGGGAAUAUUGGACAAUGGGCGCAAGCCUGAUCCAGCCAUACCGCGUGGGUGAAGAAGGCCUUCGGGUUGUAAAGCCCUUUUGUUGGGAAAGAAAAGCAGCAGGUUAAUACCCCGCUGUUCUGACGGUACCCAAAGAAUAAGCACCGGCUAACUUCGUG
rnacentral:rRNA from 1 species